rnacentral:tRNA from 2 species
ACUUAACAUCCGUCGA